rnacentral:rRNA from 1 species
AGUGAACGCUGGCGGUAGGCCUAACACAUGCAAGUCGAACGGCAGCACAGUAAGAGCUUGCUCUUACGGGUGGCGAGUGGCGGACGGGUGGGGAAUACAUCGGAAUCUACUUUUUCGUGGGGGAUAACGUAGGGAAACUUACGCUAAUACCGCAUACGACCUACGGGUGAAAGCAGGGGAUCUUCGGACCUUGCGCGAUUGAAUGAGCCGAUGUCGGAUUAGCUAGUUGGCGGGGUAAAGGCCCACCAAGGCGACGAUCCGUAGCUGGUCUGAGAGGAUGAUCAGCCACACUGGAACUGAGACACGGUCCAGACUCCUACGGGAGGCAGCAGUGGGGAAUAUUGGACAAUGGGCGCAAGCCUGAUCCAGCCAUACCGCGUGGGUGAAGAAGGCCUUCGGGUUGUAAAGCCCUUUUGUUGGGAAAGAAAAGCAGCAGGUUAAUACCCCGCUGUUCUGACGGUACCCAAAGAAUAAGCACCGGCUAACUUCGCG